UACAGAGGGUGCGAGCGUUAAUCGGAAUUACUGGGCGUAAAGCGCGCGUAGGCGGCUUUGCAAGUUGGGUGUGAAAUCCCCAGGCUUAACCUGGGAACUGCAUUCGAGACUGCAUUGCUAGAGUAUGGGAGAGGAAGUGGAAUUUCCGGUGUAGCGGUGAAAUGCGUAGAUAUCGGAAGGAACAUCAGUGGCGAAAGCGACUUCCUGGACCAAUACUGACGCUCAUGUGCGAAAGCGUGGGGAGCAAACAGG
rnacentral:rRNA from 1 species